UAAUAAACGUAUGUUCACAAAAUAACGAAAAAUAAAAACAAAAACAAUUAGCACGCUUACGAAAAUGCAAAGCUUGCAUCAGGCGCGCCCCAUAUUAAGCGUUAAUGUUAAAUUAUAUUAAUUUCUAAUGUCAACAUGAUCAUAAGAAAUCUUAAAAAGAGAAUUUUGGAUUAAUCUAAUCUAGUAUCUAAACAAUGCAAUGGAUUAAUAAAUUUCAAUUUCUAUACGUAAUAUAUGGGUCGUCGAACGCAACUUCGGUGUCUCCCACAAACUUUUUCUCUUUUUUUUUUUGAGGUCGAACAGAGAGCAACAGGCGGUGUGGGUAUUGAAAUGAUCGAGGUGCAUAUAGAUUGGAUUCCUGUUCGGUAUGUUAGGGUGAAGAAAAAAACAUUUUUUCAAAUCAUCUGACAAGCUUCAAAUCAAUGCAUGGAUUCAGCAAUAAACAUAUAUAAAAAAAAAAAAAACGGAAAAAGAAAACAACCAGAAAAUUGUAAACGA